CAUGAAAGCGAAGAGCACAAGAAGCAGAAGCCUUGGCAAACUGAGGACACCCAGCCUGGGACAGAGAGAAAAUUUCACACAGUUUGAAAACCCAGAGCCAGCAGAAAAUUAGGAGUAAGGCAAAGGGCAGGGGCAAUGAAAGGUAAGAAUAAAGGAGGUCUGUAACUAGUUUAGUAAAUUCACUUGAUGUCUGCCUAUAAAUUCAUGUCCUUAAUAAUUUAUAUUGAAAAAUAAAAAUUAAACAGAUUUGGAGAAAAGUAUUUUUUAUUUUGUUUGGGGUUUGUUUGUUUGUUUUUAAGUUUGUUUUUGUGAGUAUUUGGUUGGUUGGUUUGGUUUUUCUUUUUUUGCUAACAUAAUAGAUGUCUACCCCAGGCCUCCUGCUGGAAGGACUUUAGGAGGAGAUGGGUUAAAACAGCCUUUCCUCUGGGAAUGUGUCCCUAUGGAAUCAUGCUGACUGUGAGGUUUGAGGGAAACCCUGUAUUUAUCAAUAUUUUGGGGGUGGGGGAAUAAAUCUUCUCUUUGGGCAAAGAAAUGGCCACUCAUUUGCUUGCCAAACUUGCAACACCUCUGCUCAUUUGAAGCAUCUCCUUACAGACUGUGCCCAAAAUGUCACCUGUGGGGUAAGGCUCAGCCCAAAACGUGUGACAGUAUCAGGCUCUGUCUUCCCCAUGUUGCACAUGAAACAAAAAUGGAUGCCAAAAUGGUGGCGUUUCCAUGGACCUUGGAACUCCCAGUGUCACACUGGGCUUUUCUCUACAUCACUUAUUUAGGAGAAAGAAAACCCCUCGGAGCUGCACUUCUGUGAGAACAUCCUUUGCUGGAGGCAGCUGCUCAGGUGCAUCUCCCAGUGAUGCCCCUGAAAGACAGAGACUGAUGGUGACUUUCUAGUGGGACAUGAAUGUUUAGACAGUUUCUCAUUCCUGUUAUAGACCUCCUGUAUUCUUCUGGGAGCCUCCCUCCUUUCCUUGCCCAUCUCUUUACUGCUGCUGAACUGCACUUGCAGUUGCUGCCAAAGGACCAGGACACAGCUUGGUCACAAAGGUGGAGAAAACCCCUGGCCAGCACACCAGCUGUGAGGAAGUCAACAACUUAUAGGAGUGGGGUUAGACCACUAAUGAAGCAAGAACUGUAGAAAAUAUUUAAGUGGCAUCUACAGCAUUGACCUGUCCUUUUUCAAAUGCCAAGUUUAUAUACGUGACUGUGCAUUUCAAAUGGGUCAAGAGAGUUUGGUUGUAAGUACCCAACACAUUGCUGUGAAUUAAUAUUUAAUCAAAUGUACAACAUAGGGCUGAAUGUUAAAGAUUACCUUUGAUUUUGACUCCUAUGAUUUUCUUGGGUUUCUAAACCCCUCUGAAAAUACUUCAGUAUUUCAUAAUAGUAUUACUCAUACGAUAUGUUUCUUAGCUGUGAUUAAAGCUAGUGAGGAUGUAAAUCUACAAAGGGAAAUCUAAGCAAGACCUCAUCAGCAUAAAGUAUGUGGGAGACUAAUUUAGUUACAUCCCUAUUAGUAAUGACAAAUCAAAUUGUUCCUCCUUUUAAAUCACUAAUAUAGCAAGGUUUUGCAACUCCGCACAUAGCACGCACGAUAAAUCAGUUCAAUCUGUACACAAACACUGAAGGCUGCCUUAAAUCUGGGUUGAUUUCUUAUUCCAAACUCCUUCAGUGCAGUUCAGGUGAACCACCCUGGUUCCCUUAAUACCUGGAAAGAAAAAAAAAAAAAAAGAGUUAAUCUCUACCCCCAUGUGCUGUAUAUCAAGCACUGAACAUUUAUAACCCUGCAGCUGAUUGCUUAGCAACUGUCUUUGGGAGGAACGGCUCACCUGAUGUGCCAUCGGGAGCUCUUGUGUUGCAGGGAAGAGGCCGGAUGAAAUGAGGUCAGGCAGUGUAAGCUUACCCUGUGCUGAGCAGCACUCGCUCCA
ensembl:lncRNA